UACAGGGGGGGCAAGCGUUGUUCGGAAUUACUGGGCGUAAAGGGCCAGUAGGCGGCCAACUAAGUCCGACGUGAAAUCCCAAAGCUUAACUUUGGAACUGCGUCGGAUACUGGAUGGCUUGAAUUCGGGAGAGGGAUGCAGAAUUCCAGGUGUAGCGGUGAAAUGCGUAGAUAUCUGGAGGAAUACCGGUGGCGAAGGCGGCAUCCUGGACCGAGAUUGACGCUGAGGCGCGAAAGCCAGGGGAGCAAACGGG
rnacentral:rRNA from 1 species